UAUACCUGAUGAGCACCG
rnacentral:misc_RNA from 1 species